rnacentral:tRNA from 1 species
GCCUGGGUGGCUCAGUCGGUUGAGCAUCCGACUUCGGCUCGGGUCAUGAUCUCACGGUUCGUGGGUUCGAGCCCCGCAUCGGGCU